AGCCAAUUAAGUUAUUAAGACUGUGUGUCUUCAAAACACAUAGUGGCUUUAGGGUCAUUGGCUG
rnacentral:tRNA from 1 species